GGGGAAUAUUGCGCAAUGGGGGAAACCCUGACGCAGCAACGCCGCGUGAGUGAAGAAGGCCUUCGGGUCGUAAAGCUCUGUCUUCAGGGACGAGAGAAGACGGUACCUGAGGAGGAAGCCACGGCUAACUACGUGCCAGCAGCCGCGGUAAUACGUAGGUGGCGAGCGUUGUCCGGAAUUACUGGGCGUAAAGGGUGCGUAGGCGGGUUUUUAAGUCAGAUGUGAAACCCCCGGGCUUAACCUGGGGAUUGCAUUUGAAACUGGGAGCCUAGAGUGCAGGAGAGGGAAGCGGAAUUCCUGGUGUAGCGGUGAAAUGCGUAGAUAUUAGGAAGAACACCAGUGGCGAAGGCGGCUUUCUGGACUGUAACUGACGCUGAGGCACGAAAGCGUGGGGAGCAAAC
rnacentral:rRNA from 1 species